AUGGUGGUUCAACUAUGGCUCACAAACUCCAACUUUAAUGAGGUGGCAAAGAAAGUCUUGUCUCAGCCAAUAAGCAGCUCCUCCGCCGAAAGAAAUUGGAGUACCUACUCAUUCAUACAUAAUGUAAAGAGAAACAAGCUGAAUGCAACGACAGCCGAUAAGCUUGUCUUUAUUCAUGCAAAUGAGCGUCUGAAGAGGAGGUUUUCAGAGGGCUACAAUUCAGGUCCACAUUAUAAGUGGGAUGUUGAGCCUGAGAAUGAUUUGCUGGAGGAUUCAAGCUUGAAUCUUGAGCAGCUGCGUUGGGAUAGCUUGGAGGAUGAAGCAGCUGAUGCUGAACCACCACGCAAAAUUCAGAGGACUUGA
rnacentral:rRNA from 1 species